UACGAAGGGGGCUAGCGUUGCUCGGAAUCACUGGGCGUAAAGCGCACGUAGGCGGAUCUUUAAGUCAGGGGUGAAAUCCUGGAGCUCAACUCCAGAACUGCCUUUGAUACUGAGAUGCUUGAGUCCGGGAGAGGUGAGUGGAACUGCGAGUGUAGAGGUGAAAUUCGUAGAUAUUCGCAAGAACACCAGUGGCGAAGGCGGCUCACUGGCCCGGUACUGACGCUGAGGUGCGAAAGCGUGGGGAGCAAAGCAGGG
rnacentral:rRNA from 1 species